CUCUGUAGAACAGAGAAGAAAAGUGAUGCCCAUUCUGUGGAACACUUCAGUACAGAAGAACUUUUUUGAAGUCAAAAAUGCAAAAUGCUUUUUUUCUUCUCAUCCUAAGGCCAGCUCAGAAGGUAGACAUUUGUUUAUAAAGAAGAGAGUGGAUUUUUGGUGAAAGCAAGGACAAAACUUCACUUUAUCAAAGUCAAAGAAGGAAUAAUACUCCCCAGAGAGGAUUGACAGCAGACAGACAGAAAAACCUUCUUGAAUUUUAGCAAGAUCUCGUGCCACUUUUUAUGCAUACUCCCAGGAAUCAUAGAACCGGACAAUGUUGGGAUGCUGGAGCCCUUUCAGCAUCCCAGCUUCCUCUUUAAAUCUUUGUCGUUCUGACUUGGACAGUUUCCGAUCCUAAUGAGAAAGAAAAGUAUCAAGGAAAACAAAAAGAAAGUUACACCAGAGACGGACAGCAAUCUUUUGGCCAGAGAGCUAUCAUCAAAAAGAAUUCCUGGACUUCACUACUGUAUCAUCUAGCAACAGCCAGCUUGCCAAUAUAAUCGAGACUGUGACCUGCUAUUACCAGCCUCAGUUGCACAUCCCAAGAGAAAAGCGUCUCAAUGUGUUACUCAGUUUAGUAAUGCAUUAGUCUCAAUCAGAUGGGUCAACUGACAUAAUUUGAAUUCAUAUGCAAGUAGUAUUAAAAAAAAUAUUUCAGGAUACACUAAAAAACACAGGAUUUUAGAAUCAUUGUUUCAAGCAUAGUCAUUUAUGAAUAACUGGUGAGUUCUUUGUCAAAUCUGAAGGAUAACUAGGUCACUUCAUUGCAUAUUUCCUUUUCAAUUAAAAGGAGGUGGUAUAAAUAAGCAGAGUUGACUUAUACUGUUCAAAAUCUCCUAUCGUCCCCUGGGGCAGCAAUUCCUCUUCCUUUGUUAACAGUUAAUGUGUUUUCUCAAUACUAUUCAGCCAUACUAAUGUCUAAACCAUCCUCU